rnacentral:rRNA from 1 species
UACGUAGGGUGCAAGCGUUGUCCGGAAUUAUUGGGCGUAAAGAGCUCGUAGGCGGUUCGUCGCGUCGGCUGUGAAAACCCGGAGCUCAACUCCGGGCCUGCAGUCGAUACGGGCGGACUUGAGUGUUGCAGGGGAGACUGGAAUUCCUGGUGUAGCGGUGAAAUGCGCAGAUAUCAGGAGGAACACCGGUGGCGAAGGCGGGUCUCUGGGCAUUAACUGACGCUGAGGAGCGAAAGCAUGGGGAGCGAACAGG